rnacentral:rRNA from 1 species
GAUGAACGCUGGCGGCGUGCCUAAUACAUGCAAGUCGAACGAGGUGCUUUUGUAGCAAUACGAGAGUAUCCUAGUGGCGAACGGGUGAGUAACGCGUUGGUGACCUACCCCAAAGUGUGGGAUAACAGUCCGAAAGGAUUGCUAAUACCGCAUGUGGUCUUCGGAUUUAGAAACUGAUGACUAAAGGAGCAAUUCGCUUUGGGAGGGACCUGCGUCCCAUCAGCUAGUUGGUGAGGUAAUGGCUCACCAAGGCUACGACGGGUAGGGGACCUGAGAGGGUGACCCCCCCACAAUGGAACUGAAACACGGUCCAUACACCUACGGGUGGCAGCAGUAGGGAAUAUUGCACAAUGGGCGAAAGCCUGAUGCAGCAACGCCGCGUGUGCGAUGAAGGCCUUCGGGUCGUAAAGCACUUUUCUGAGGGAUGAGCAAGGACAGUACCUCAGGAAUAAGUCUCGGCUAACUACGUGCAGCAGCCGCGGUAAU